rnacentral:rRNA from 1 species
UGACAAAGUUUAACGGCCGCGGUACCCUAACCGUGCGAAGGUAGCAUAAUCACUUGUUCUUUAAAUAGGGACUCGUAUCAACGGCAUCACGAGGGCUAUACUGUCUCCUUUCUCCAAUCAGUGAAACUGAUCUUCCCGUGAAGAAGCGGGAAUUAUUGUAUAAGACGAGAAGACCCCAUGGAGCUUUAAACUCAAUAUAUACCUCUACGCAUUUAUAUCACUAUAGCCUAAGAAAAUUAUAUAUUAGUUUUGGGUUGGGGGGACCGCGGAGAAAAAAUUAACCUCCACGACAAAUAGGCCAACGCCUUUAUCUAUGAACCACAAUUCUAAGAAUCAAUAAACUGAUGUUUAAUGAUCCAAUUUUUUGAUCAACGAACCAAGUUACCCUGGGGAUAACAGCGCAAUCUACUUCAAGAGCUCCUAUCGACAAGUGGGUUUACGACCUCGAUGUUGGAUCAGGGUAUCCUAGUGGUGCAGCCGCUACUAAAGGUUCGUUUGUUCAACGAUUAAAACCCUACGUGAUCUGAG